GGCAAGGGGCUUGCCAGUCUGGUUUUUAUUUUGAAUGGUUGUUUUAUGCCUACCCAUGAAAAAAACUCAUUGCCUUUUGCCUUCAUUGGUUGAGAGAUUACCAUUCUCUGCUCUUAGUCAAGGACGUUGUAAAUGGAAAAAGACCAGAAACUCAGUCUGUGGACUGUGGGCCGUUUGCCACAGCAUGCAUUCCAGGUGUGCAAACCCUUAGAAGCAUGAAGGGUAAGAUUUGGAUGCCUCAUUAGAGGGUAUCAUCCCCACCCCAACAGACACCUCCCCGCUCUACAGUCUGAGAACUGCUCUCCCUGGAGCCAGCUGGGGACAGCCAUGCAUCGUUGUUGGGGAAACCAGAAGUUACAGGCUUCGAUUUCUCAGGCAGUCUUCAUUUACUGACAUGCUCCAAUAAUGAGAGGCUACCAUGUAAAUAACACUUCAUCUGAGUUUCAGGUGUACAGCAAAGUGGAUCAUCAGAAUAUCUUGUAUGGUGGGUUUUCCCUCCAUUUUACAGAUGAAUGAACUGAGGCGCUGAAAGAUUCUGUGACUUGCUGAAGAUAACCAGCCAGUAAGUGAUAAAGUCAGGUGCAGAUCUUCUGAGGCCAAGUCCUGCGUCUUUCCAGCUCCCUUCACGUUUGGGAAUCAAGCUUCUCUCUUGCUCCAGCGAGGCUCUGUCUGCUAAUGCGGUCAAUGCAAGCACGUGGAAAGCUUUGGACUUCUGAUCACAUUUUUACCACGACAGAGGCCUGGGCCUCCUAGAAAUGACAUUUUAACUCUCUAAUCUACAUUUCUGAAAAACAUUUCUUCUUGCAGGGAGACAUGUAGGCCAUUACCUGGUUAGCAUUUCCAAAGUGUUGCAGGAAACUCACUAGCUUGAAAGAAACCUGAUUACAGCUGUCAAGUUCAGAAACAGAAGGUGGGGCGUUAAUUAUUAACAGGAGAUCACCCGAAAGAUACAGCAUGGAAUGAUUAACCGAGCUGUUGGGACUGUCAGGGCGGAAUGAAUGAACAGAGCCCAUUGAAGCCAUCUCGGGAGCAUGAAAAGGCCCUGCUCCUGCUCUGAGUGUUCACAACCCCCAGCCAGAGGCCGGUAGGAAAGAACAACGUGCUAUUCUCAUUCAGUUCUGACUCUCAUUCUUAUUAAAACAUGGAGCUAUUCCAAGCCCAAGAGGUAACAGAUUCCGGCUUGGGCAAGGCACCGGCAUUUGCAAUUCAAUAAACUUCAACCAUUCUUCACUGAAUGCAGGUGGUGGGCCAGGCUUAAAGCUACAUACAGUCUGGGGGCCUGGUGAGGAGCAGGGUGCUGCUCCCAGGACUCCCAUCAUUCAUUGGGGAGAAUCAAGAUGACACUCGAAUCCCCAUAUGGCAGGCCAGAAUGGGCCUCACUGAAGACUUGAGUGGCUUCAGGAAGAGAAGAAACAGUAUCUGGAGAGCUGGUUGGGGGUGAGGAGCAAAAUUAACUAAUAUUUCUUAAGCACUUUCUGUACGCCAAGCACUAUGCAAAGCACUCAGUGUUACCUAAUUGAAUCUUCGUAGAACAUCAACUCUAUGAAUUGAGUUGCUGUGUCCAACUCAGAGGUCAGCAAACUGAGGCUUGGUGCACUGACUUACCCAGGGCCACAUCCUCCCAACUGCUCUGCUCUUCUUCUGAAGGACAUUUGGAAUCUGCCCAGGGAAUGGUGAAAGGAAACAAGGAAAUGGAGGGUGAAGCAUUCAGGAAGUAGGAAUUCAGGAAGAGGUAAAGGAAAUUAUAGGUUGGUGUCUAUUAUGAAGAAUCUUAUAUAUCAGGCUUGGGAGUCUGUUCUUCACUUGGUAAAUAACCAGGGCCUUUUCAUAUCAAACUCUCUCUCCUCAGUCAAUUGGGAUGCAUUGGGUUUAUCUAGAGCCCAAGGUUUUUCUAAGAACAUUGAACACAUAAGUAAAUACAGGAGCAAAAGGCUUACUCUACUGUGAUCAGAAUGGAAGAAUGUAAAUCCAGUAACAUAAAUACACUGAUCAUCAACCAGAAGCCAUUUUGUCUGUCAACAAGUUAUGUCACCAACAGGGAAAACAAAAAUGCCACAAAAGGACAAAGGCAAACACACACUGUUGCCAAAAGAUUGGCCCCCGUCCCUGAGGAGCCAAAUAACUCAGAGACUGGGUUUGGAGCUUAGAAGAAGCAGCUUUAUUACUUUGCUGGGCAAAAGGGACACACAGCAGGAUAGUGCCUUCAAAACUGUGAACCCGUCUCGGGGAUGGGGCAGGGGGAUUAUAUAGACGAACAGGUUGGAGCAUGAAAGGUGGUCAAGAUCAGCAAGGGUCCCUGAUGAAAUCUCCUUCUAAACCUAGAUGAGUGUGCCUGGUAUCCUGGGACCUCCCGGUGGUCUGGAAGGUCAUCAGCCCCCGAACUCCUUCAUCUGGUCAGACUCAUCUGGCACUAAGGAGGAACUCUGGGGGAUCUGGUCAUUCUCCUGAGGUUAUUGUUCCAUGACACCCUUCCUGGGGAACGACUCAGACACCAAACAUGAUUGUAAUGAUGAGUAAGGUCAAAUCAAACUGUAGUAUGCCAACAACUUCAGCUUUAACAGCGGGCCCGGGGCUGGGAGCAGUGUCUUGUCCGUCAGGUUUGCUGAUCGUAAUAAA